CCGUUCACAGUGGUUUCAACAGGACUUCAGUGAAACCAUUUCAGCGCUGGGAAGGUACGAAGCGGUACAACAGAAUACAGCCCUUGCAGCAGGAAACGCGCGUCAGCAACGCACUUACAAACAUGAAAUAAUGAAGCUUCAUAACCCCAGCCACGCUGGAGGGCUCCUGCCUGAGUUGUUGCCCCGCAGUCGCUAUCCAAUAGCCCAGAGCAACAGUGCUACCAGCUUAGGCCAGGCAGUGACGAUGGGCUCCACUGGUAACAUCAGCAGGAAUGUAGAACAACAAAACCAAAGGGAGUGAAGGCCAAAAAUGCCGCAUUUCCUGACACAUCCUGGAACACAAUAAGAUCGCAUCAAAACGUUGCAGCGCGGCAAAGUUUACACAUCAAUAGCAACACUCAGUCCUGAAUAAGGUGGUGGUAAUGAAUCUUCCCUCUUAAAUUAUGCCAACAGAACAGUCCUGACAGCUUUAUUUAGACCGUGACAUCCUGCCUAUAGACAGGAAUCUGCAGGAGCACAAAAAACAUGACUGGUCCAGCAGAAUUUGUGAGCAGAAAA